GGAAUGAGUGACCUCAAACUUCAUCAAUACCUCAUUUGUUGAUAUUCCACAGUAUGUGAUUUUAAGGUAGUCAUUGAAGCUGUUCUUUCUAAGAUGAAAUACUAUUUUCUCUUUCUUUCUUUCUUUCUUUCUCUCUCUCUCUCUCUCUCUCUCUCUCUCUCUCUCUCUCUCUCUCUCUCCCCCUUUCUUUCUUUUUUUGAGACAGAGUUUUGCGCUUGUUGCCUAGGCUGAAAUACAAUGGUGCGAUCUUGGCUCACUACAACAUCUGCCUCCUGGGUUCAAGUGAUUCUUGUGCCUCAGCGUCCCAAGCUGCUGAGAUUACAGGCCUGCGGCACCACGUCCAGCUAAUUUUUGUAUUUUUAGUAGAAACGGGGUUUCACCAUGUUGGUCAGGCUGGUUUCUAACUCCUGACCUCAGGUAAUCCUCCCACUUCUGCCUCCCAAAGUGCUGGGAUUACAGGUGUGAGCCACCGCACCCAGCCCAUUUUCUUUUUCCUUUUCUUUUUUUCUUUUUUUCGAGACAGAGUCUCACUCUGUUGCCCAUGCUGGAGUACAGAGGCAGACUCUCAGCUCACUGCAACCUCUGCCUCCCAGGUUCAAGCGAUUCUCCUGCCUCAGCCUCCCAAGUAGCUGGGAUCACAGGCACCUGCCACCAUGGCCGGCUAAUUUUUUGUAUUUUUUAGUAGAGACAGGGUUUCACUAUAUUUGACAGGCUGGUCUUGAACUCCUGACUUUGUGAACCGCCUGCCUCAGCCUCCCAAAGUGCUAGGAUUACAGGUGUGAGUCACUGCGCCCGGCCCGGUUGCCUAUUUUUAUGGUUAUUUCUUGAUAACAUACUAAACAAGAGGUGGAUUAUUCAUGCCUCCCCUUUUUAGACCAUAUAGGGUAACUUCCUGACAUUGCCCAGGCAUUUGUAAACUGUCGUGGUGCUGGUGGGAGUGUAGCAGUGAGGACGACUACAGGUCACUCUCAUUGCCAUCUUGGUUUUGGUGGGUUUUAGCCAGGUUUUUUACUGCAACGUGUUUUGUUUUGUUUUAGAGAUGGAGUCUCGCUCUGUUACCCAGACUGGAGUACAGUGGCGCAAUCUUGGCUCACUGCAACCUCUGCCUCCCGGGUUCAAGUGAUUCUCCUGCCUUAGCUUCCUAAAUAGCUGGGAUUACAGGCUCGCACCACCACGCUCGGCUAGUUUUUGUAUUUUUAGUAGAGACAGGGUUUCACCACAUUAGUCAGGCUGGUCUCGAACUCCUGACCUCAGCCUGAGGUGAUCUGCCUGCCUCAGCCUCCCAAAGUGCUGGGAUUACAGGCGUGAGCCACCGCGCCCAGCCAACACUGCAACGUGUUUUAUCAGCAAGGUCAUCAUGAUCUGUAUUUUGUGCCAACCUCCUAGCUCAUCCUGGGACUUAGAAUGCCUUAACCAUCUGGAAAUAUAGCCCGGUAGUUCUCAGCUUCAUUUUACCCGGCCCCUACUCAAGAUGGAGUUGCUCUGGUUCACACGCCUCUGACAACAUGGCAGGUGAACCAUGGUGAGAAUCAGGCGUGAAGAGUGAGUCUUCAAAAGCAGCCAUGUGGGGAGGAGGAAGGCAGGAAAUACAUUCUCCGUCCACCUGGGGACUCUUCCCAAGCUGGUGGGAAGACCCGAGCAGGUUUGUAGGUUGAGGGCAGUGGCCUGAAGAGAGAGCGAGUUUGAGGGUGCCAGAAAAAGGGAAUAUUUGAGUAAGACAGGUCCUUCCUGGAGGAGGUGUCCCUAACUCGAAGCUUAGAGGGGAGUAGGUUUAGGGGGCAGGGAGCGGCAACCAUUUCUGA
ensembl:lncRNA